AUCUAGAUAGUUUAAAAAAAAUAUUGAUUUGUGAUAUCAAAGAUAUAAAUAUUAUUUUAGAUU
rnacentral:tRNA from 1 species